GACGAACGCUGGCGGCGCGCUUAACACAUGCAAGUCGAACGGAAAGGCCUGCUUUCCCUUGUGGAUUGCGGGUACUCGAGUGGCGAACGGGUGAGUAACACGUGAGUGAUCUGCCCCCAACUUGGGUAUAAGCCUGGGAAACUGGGUCUAAUUCCCGAUAGGACUGCAGGGUGGUGCCUGUGGUGGAAAACGAUUUUCUAGUGGUUGGGGAUGAGCUCGCGGCCUAUCAGCUUGUUGGCGGGGUAAUGGCCUACCAAGGCGGCGACGGGUAGCCGGCCUGAGAGGGUGGACGGCCACAUUGGGACUGAGAUACGGCCCAGACUCCUACGGGAGGCAGCAGUGGGGAAUAUUGCACAAUGGGCGGAAGCCUGAUGCAGCGACGCCGCGUGGGGGAUGACGGCCUUCGGGUUGUAAACUCCUUUCGACCGCGAGGAAGCCACCUGGUUGGAAGGGUGGUGACGGUAGUGGUAGAAGAAGCACCGGCUAACUACGUG
rnacentral:rRNA from 1 species